GCCCCAGUAGCCUAAUGGAUAAGGCACUGGCCUCCUAAGCCAGGGGAUAUGGGUUUGAGACCCAUCUGGGGUA